ensembl:lncRNA
AACCUUUCAACUUUUGCAGGCUAUGGAAAUGAAAAAAUGGAUGACAAGAGAAUUGGACAGCACAAAGCAAGAACUGAGAAGAGAGAUGGAGGAGAGGGACAGAGCUAGACUGACAGAGGAGAAAAAAUAUGUUCUUGCCACACAGGAGAUCACACAAGAACAUAUUUUUGGAAUUGCAAUUAUUUUUGCGAUUGCAGCAUCUAAGACCAUAAAUGAAGACUUGACUCAGAGGGUGAAAACACUGGAGACAGAGAACCUACAUCUGAAACAAGAAAUGGAGAAUUGGAGGGCAAGGGAACUCCAAGAGAGAGACUUAGAGAAACCAACCCGAAUGGUGGAGAUGGAAAAGAUGAUUAAAAUGAUGGAAUAUUACAGAGAGAGAUAUGAAAAAGAAAUGGCCCGAAUGGUCAAUGUUCAAAUGAAAGAGGAAAGAAGACAAGAGCAGGUCAACUUGGAUGUCAAAGAUAAAAAAAAUGUGUUGGAGGACAAGCAAAAAAUUGAAGAUGACAGAAAAAGCACAGAAGAUGUGGAACAAGAGAGAGCUCAAAAGAAAACAAACAGAGAGAAUGAGAAACCAGUGAGGGAAGACCACAACUGGGUGGAGGAGGAAAGUAAUGUUAAAGACAUGGGACAUGCAGAUGAAAAGACAGAAGGUGAAAGUAAGGUAUUGGAGACGGGGAAAGAAGGUGAUCAGACUGUGGAAAAGGAGUUUCUGAAAGACCAAGUACAGAUAAAGCCCUCUUCUAAGGAAGUUGUAGACUGGACAGACGUCAAGGAAGCGGAGAUUAAAGAGGAGAUCCACAAUGAUGUCUGUGAGGACCAUCAGGACAUUACAAUGACCAAAUCUGUUUUGAGGGACUCCAAAAAUGAAGACAGUGUCACCCUGAAGGACUGUAAGACCAACUCGGCAAACUUUCCUCUCAAAGUUUCCUCUCUUGAUGAAGCCACAGUAGCAACAAACACUGGGGUUGAGACUAAAGAGCUGAUCCAAAAUGAUGUGGCUGAGUACCAACAGGACAUUACUGUGACUGAAUCUAUUUUUAGUGACCCAAAAAUUGAGGAUGAAGAUAUUUCGCUUAAGGACACUAAGACCAACUCUGCAUGUUUCCAGGAGAUUACAGUUGGCCAACAAACACUGGAAGAGAGAAAUGUGAAGGACAAAGGGCAAAAUAGACUAGAAGAAGAGAGAAAGAAGAUGGAGGACCAAGAAAAGAAAUGGGUGGAAGAGGAAAUAAGAAAGGGAGAGAUGAUCAUAAUGGAGAAGCAAAAGAAGAGAGAGGAAGAGAACAGAAGGGUGGAGGACGAAAGAAAGGAAGAGGCAGUGAGGUUGGAGAUGAACAGAGAGAGAAUGGAGGAAGAGAAAAAGAUGAUGGAUGCAAACAAUGACGAUAAUCUGUUAAGGAGUCAGGAGGAGGAGAGAAUGAGAGCUCUGAAAUUAGAAAAGAGGAACAGAGUGACAGACGAACAGCUAACAGACACCUGGACAGAAGCAGUGAAUUUAGAAGUGAAAUACUCAGAUGAUGAGGACUGGAUAGACUCUGAACGUGAUAAUGAAAUCAAGAUCCAGACAGAUGAGAAGCAGCAGGACCUUGAGAGUGAGUUGGAGGAGAGCAUUGAUAAAGAACUGAGCCAUGGAGAGCACAGUGACAUAGAGAAUAAACUGGCAGAGAAAGAGGUUGAGAGAAGCCCAACUUCUAUGGCAGAGCAGUCUGGAAAAUCAUCAGUCCAAGAUGAAGAACACUUGCGGAGCCCUGGAGUGACAGCACAUGCAAACCCACAGUAUACUCAAUAUAUGAAGUCACCAUUGCCAGAUCUCUCAUCUCCUACAGAAAAUAUGGCAUCACAAACCCUACCUCCACGACAGGAUAAACUCACAGAUUCAGUGGAUGGAGAUACCUUCUGUGAAAAGCAGGAAUAUUCAGAUUAUGACGGUGGGACGGAGUCUGAGAAGUUGAACAAUGAAGGUAAGAUCCAGAAAGCUCAAGAGAUCCAGACGGAGGACAUUGACCACAAGUCUGAGGACAGCAUAGUUGAAGAACUGAGCCAAGAUGAUCAGAGUGACAUUGACAUUGAGGCGGUACAUUUAGUGGAGGUUGAAAGCAACAUCAUCAGCUUCACUGAAAUGAGGAAACCAGCGGCAUGUGCAGCAGUCCAGGAGGACCAGUCUGGGCAACAGUCAGCAAAGCCAAAAGACAUGGCAAAGGAACAGAAGGAUGGUGAUAUGAAGGCAGAAAUAUUGAGGGUGGAAGAACAAGUGAAGAGAGUUCAAGAAAACAGCCAGAAGCAUAAGACAAAACAGAAGCAAGAGACAAUGAGGUUAAAUGAAGAAGAAGAGAUAAAGAUGAUGGAUGCAGAACAUGAUAAAGCCAAUAUGUCAAGGAGACUGGAAGAGAAGAGUAUGAGUGCUCUGGAAGAAGAGGAGAGGAGGAAAGUAAAGGAGGAAGUUGAGACAGAGAUGGUGAAAGGACAUCCAUCCCCUGCAGAGAAGUUAGAGUCUGAUGAUAAAGUCUUGAGAGUCCCAGAAGAAUGUGAAAAAGAAGGAAAGAAAGGCAGGAAUAAAGGCAAGGAGAUCCUGACGGAGGACAAAGAACCUAUGAUGAAGCCCGAAAAGACAGCAC